CGGCGUGUAGCGCAGCCUGGUAGCGCAUUCGCUUCGGGGGUGAAAGGUCGGAGGUUCGAAUCCUCUCACGCCGACCA
rnacentral:tRNA from 1 species